ensembl:misc_RNA Metazoa_SRP Metazoan signal recognition particle RNA
ACUAGUUAGCGUUUAUACUAUAGGAAAACUGAAAAACUGCUUGGGAGUCUGAGGUGGGAGGAUCACUUGAGCCCAGGAGUUCUGGGCGGAAGUGUGCUAUGCUGACAGGUGCCCACACUAAGUUUGGCAUCAAUAUGGUGACCUCAGGGGGGCAGGAGACCACCAGGUUGCCUAAGGAGGCGUGAAAAUGAAGCAGAUCAAAACUCCUGUGCUGAUCAGUAGUGGGAUUGUGCCUGUGAAUAGCCACUGCACUCCAGCCUGGGCAACAUAGUGAGACAUUGUCUCUA